rnacentral:rRNA from 1 species
AUAGAGACUCAGAGCUGCAUAUCAAUAAGCGGAGGAAAAGAAACUAACAAGGAUUCCCUUAGUAACGGCGAGUGAAGCGGGAAGAGCUCAAAUUUGAAAUCUUCAAGGUUCUACCUUGACGAAUUGUAGUUUAAAGAAGUGUUUUCUGUUAGAUGAGUAGUCAAAAGUUCUCUUGGAAUAGGGACAUCAUAGAGGGUGAGAAUCCCGUAUUUGACUUAUUCAUUCUAGCUUUGUGAUACACUUUCAAAGAGUCGGAUUGUUUGGGAAUGCAGUCCAAAAUGGGUGGUAAAUUUCAUCUAAAGCUAAAUAUUGGCGAGAGACCGAUAGCGAACAAGUACCGUGAGGGAAAGAUGAAAAGAACUUUGAAAAGAGAGUUAAACAGUACGUGAAAUUGUCAAAAGGGAAGCGUUUGACACCAGUGUUGUUUUUCCGAAAAUCAAUUACGAAUGGCUUGAUUUUGUGUUGUAUUGACCUUAUCAGCUUUCUGCACUUUUUUCGAGUCUUUCUUAAUGCACUUUUUGGUUAACAAGUCAACAUCAAUUUCUUUUGUUGUAAAAGAGUAUUCGGAAGGUGGCUUUCUUUUCGGAGAAAGUGUUUAUAGCCCUAUACUUCUACAAUCGGAGAGAUUGAGGUCUGCAGCGUAGAUCCUUCGGGGUUAGAUACACUUGUGCUAAGUUGUAGCUUUUCAUAGACAACUUGUUGACUAUGAUUAGUCAUGUCGCUUACUCGCUUAUGCUAUUUUACCUACGCUUAGGAUGUUGACGAUCAGCUGAGCGCG